rnacentral:rRNA from 1 species
GUAGGUGGCAAGCGUCGUCCGGAAUUAUUGGGCGUAAAGCGCGCGCAGGCGGUUCUUUAAGUCUGAUGUGAAAGCCCACGGCUCAACCGUGGAGGGUCAUUGGAAACUGGAGAACUUGAGUACAGAAGAGGAAAGCGGAAUUCCACGUGUAGCGGUGAAAUGCGUAGAGAUGUGGAGGAACACCAGUGGCGAAGGCGGCUUUUCUGGUCUGUAACUGACGCUGAGGCGCGAAAGCGUGGGGAGCAAACAGGGAUUAGAUACCCUGGUAGUCCACGCCGUAAACGAUGAGUGCUAAGUGUUAGGGGGUUUCCGCCCCCUUAGUGCUGCAGCUAACGCAUUAAGCACUCCGCCUGGGGAUACGGCCGCAAGGCUG